rnacentral:rRNA from 1 species
UUGAACGCUGGCGGAAUGCUUUACACAUGCAAGUCGAACGGCAGCACGGGAGCUUGCUCCUGGUGGCGAGUGGCGAACGGGUGAGUAAUGCGUCGGAACGUACCGAGUAAUGGGGGAUAACGCAGCGAAAGCUGUGCUAAUACCGCAUACGCCCUGAGGGGGAAAGUGGGGGAUCGCAAGACCUCACGUUAUUCGAGCGGCCGACGUCUGAUUAGCUAGUUGGUGGGGUAAAGGCUCACCAAGGCGACGAUCAGUAGUGGGUCUGAGAGGAUGAUCCGUCACACUGGAACUGAGACACGGUCCAGACUCCUACGGGAGGCAGCAGUGGGGAAUUUUGGACAAUGGGGGCAACCCUGAUCCAGCCAUUCCGCGUGAGUGAAGAAGGCCUUCGGGUUGUAAAGCACUUUUAUGAGGGAAGAGCAAGGACUGUACCUCAUGAAUAAGGAUCGGCUAACUACG